rnacentral:lncRNA from 1 species
CUAUGUAGUUCAGGCUGGCCUUGAACUCAGUUAUGUAGCCUAGGCUAGUCUUACACUCACAAUGAUACUCCUGCCUCAGCCUCCCAAGUGCUGGGAUUACAGGUGCAUGCCACCACACCAGGCAAGUUGGACCUAUUCUGAAAAGAUUUUAGCACUGAACAUCCUGACCCAGGAGCAAGGAAAAUUAAAAACGGACAAGAUCUGCAUUCCCUGCUCCACCCUUCUGGGACACCCUCCUACAGGUCAUGAGUUUCCUAGGCAGCUUCAGAGAUCAAGGCCUCACUGUGGCCAUUGGGUUGUCACUGAGCUGCCAAAGAUCUUGACUCUAGAAACCUCCCAUCCUUCAGAACUGAAGCGUGGACCAUGGAGUGUGCAUAAGGCUGGGCUGGAGGGAGCCUGA